AUAUAUAUAUACCUAUAUAUCUAUCUAUAUAUAUAUAUAUAUCUCAAUAUGCCCCUGGACAUGCAUGGCACCUUCCCACUGAAAACCCUUCCUUAGGUUCCCAUUGCUCUUGGGGUAAAAGCUAAAAUUCUUAUCAUGUCCAACUGGCCCUGAAUGAUAGAGCCUUAUUUUGUUUACCAUCUUGCUUUGGACCACAGUUUAUACUCUAAUGGCAUAGACCUUUCAGUUCCUCAAAGACCUGUUCUCCUUUUUUCUACAGAGGCUUUGAGAUAAGGAAACUAAAGCCUAAAGAAGUUUGUAUUUUCUUCAAGGUCAAAUGGAUACCAAGUGGGCUACCCACUCUGAGGUCCCAGGCUCCUAGAAUACCACCUGACACCCCGUCUGCAGUCAGGCUUUUACCUCCAGCACCUCAUGGAAACUGCUCUUGUCAAGCACACCGGUGUCCUCCGUGUUGCUAAAAAGCGUGUCAGCUCCAAGUCCAUCGUACAGAACCUACCAGCAGCAUCUGACAGGGCAUCCUCCUGCUGCCUGGGAAAACAAGACACCCCUCACCAUGAAAAGCAUCCCCACCGUUGCCUGUUCCCACUCAGACAUCCAAGUUGAUGAAAGGAGAAUAAAGGCCUAGAAAACUGGAUCUCAGAUGAAGAAGCCCAGCUUUCUUCUUACAACAACUUGUGUGGCAGGUAUAACCAUCUCUAUUUUAUAAAUGGGGAAAUUGAGGCUCGCGAUGGUGACUUACCCAAGGUCACACAGUUAAAGUGCAUGGUAGAGCCCAUACUCAAACCCUAGUCAUUUUCACUCCAACUCCAGUGUUCUUUCCAACUUUCCUUUCCCCCACUCUUUUUAAAGAACACUAGCUAUAUCUGGGCAAAAGCCAGAGGGUUAUGGAAUGAACUCUCUUGAGCAAUGACUUCUGGAUCAUUGUGAUAAUAAUGGUGAAUCUGAUGAAUGUGUAAGAUGGCUUAAAAAGAAUUACACAUCAUUAAAACCUAAAGCAUUAGUAAAUCCACAUACCCAAUCACUCACAGCAGUUUCCCCCUGUUCCUUGGUGAGAAUUAUGUUUGUCGUGGGAGGUAAGGGAUAAUGGAAACUCCUGCAGCAGAGAAAGCACUACUAUUUCUGGAGGAUGAAGUGUCUCCGUGCCCUAACAGAUGGAGCCCAACCCUUGAAGUUGUUUGAAACAGCUUGAGGCAACGUGAUGCCUUGCGGCUGCUGGGCUGAGACAUGGGGGCAGAUGGGUCACGAAGGGUUGGGGAGCGGGCGUCUGCGAAAUGUCCAGUAAAGCUAACCCUUAAGCCAGACCUACUGGAGGGGAGCAAAGAAGGCAAGUGGCCAAGACAGAACUGCUCUCCUAAAAUAGAAUUAAGCUUCUAGGAAACUCUAGAAUGCAGUCGUGUUGAAGAGACUGGACUGGGAAUCUGAAGGUACAGACUCUGCUCCUGGCUCUGCUGCAGAUGCCAGUGACCCAGGCUUAGAGAUGAGAAAUGACUUGUCCAAAGUCACAGGAGUUGGGUAGAGCCUGACUCCCAGGUGGACCACGGGGUUUUAAAUGUCCCUCUAGUUUUGACAUUUGUGAAACUGUGUCCAGCAGGGGGCGGUAAAGAUUCCCCUUGUCAAGUUGAUGGUGCCCCAAACGCUUCCCUUUCCGCUGCUUCUAGAAUUGUCAUCUGUUGCCCCCCAGCCUGACACAGGUUCUUUCUUAGGAAAGACCAGUUGCAGCUGGCUUCAGUGACCGCUGGCCUGUGGGGACAGCACAUCAAGCCAAGUCCAUCCUGGCUGCAGAUAAGUGAUGGCUUUCUUUCUCUGCCAAGUCACACUUUGUAAAUGUCGCCACUGGGUCAAGUUUUCACCACCGGGAGCUUGUUCUGACUUUGAGCUUCAGGGAAACGGCCUCUGAGCUGGACAAGUGGUUGGAGAGGGGGUGCUCAGGAGAGCACCAUCCCUUCUUUAGGUGGGGCCCCAAAGUGAUAUUCCUAACAAGUUCCCAGGGGAUGCUGUUGCUGCUGGUCCCCAGACCAUACUCUGAGAACUACUGAUACACAGUAUCUGUGACUAAGUGUGAACUUUGAAGUGCUGAGGGGCCGUCAUUGGCGUUCACCCA